GACGAACGCUGGCGGCGUGCUUAACACAUGCAAGUCGAACGAUGAAGCUGGAGCUUGCCCCGGUGGAUUAGUGGCGAACGGGUGAGUAACACGUGAGCAACCUGCCCUUCACUCUGGGAUAACUGCGGGAAACUGUAGCUACUACCGGAUACGAGACCUUGGGGCAUCCCAGGGUCUGGAAAGAAUUUCGGUGAAGGAUGGGCUCGCGGCCUAUCAGCUAGUUGGUGAGGUAAUGGCUCACCAAGGCGACGACGGGUAGCCGGCCUGAGAGGGUGACCGGCCACACUGGGACUGAGACACGGCCCAGACUCCUACGGGAGGCAGCAGUGGGGAAUAUUGCACAAUGGGCGAAAGCCUGAUGCAGCAACGCCGCGUGAGGGAUGAAGGCCUUCGGGUUGUAAACCUCUUUUAGUAGGGAAGAAGCGCAAGUGACGGUACCUACAGAAAAAGCACCGGCUAACUACGUGCCAGCCGCCGCAGUAA
rnacentral:rRNA from 1 species